rnacentral:rRNA from 3 species
GGUUAAGCGACUAAGCGUACACGGUGGAUGCCCUGGCAGUCAGAGGCGAUGAAGGGCGUGCUAAUCUGCGAUAAGCGCCGGUAAGGUGAUAUGAACCGUUAUAACCGGCGAUACCCGAAUGGGGAAACCCAGUGUGACUCGUCACACUAUCAUUAACUGAAUCCAUAGGUUAAUGAGGCGAACCGGGGGAACUGAAACAUCUAAGUACCCCGAGGAAAAGAAAUCAACCGAGAUUCCCCCAGUAGCGGCGAGCGAACGGGGAGGAGCCCAGAGCCUGAAUCAGCAUGUGUGUUAGUGGAAGCGUCUGGAAAGGCGCGCGAUACAGGGUGACAGCCCCGUACACAAAAGCGCAUGUGCUGUGAGCUCGAUGAGUAGGGCGGGACACGUGGUAUCCUGUCUGAAUAUGGGGGGACCAUCCUCCAAGGCUAAAUACUCCUGACUGACCGAUAGUGAACCAGUACCGUGAGGGAAAGGCGAAAAGAACCCCGGCGAGGGGAGUGAAAAAGAACCUGAAACCGUGUACGUACAAGCAGUGGGAGCCCCACCACUAAGCCAGUGGUGAACUCCACAUACGCAUCCUUUGCUGAGGAUACGGUUAACGGAGCGAAAGCGACGUUCAACCUCAAAAGAAGCAGAGGGGGCUUAGUGGUGGGGUGACUGCGUACCUUUUGUAUAAUGGGUCAGCGACUUAUAUUCUGUAGCAAGGUUAACCGUAUAGGGGAGCCGGAGGGAAACCGAGUCUUAACCGGGCGUUAAGUUGCAGGGUAUAGACCCGAAACCCGGUGAUCUAGCCAUGGGCAGGUUGAAGGUUGGGUAACACUAACUGGAGGACCGAACCGACUAAUGUUGAAAAAUUAGCGGAUGACCUGUGGCUGGGGGUGAAAGGCCAAUCAAACCGGGAGAUAGCUGGUUCUCCCCGAAAGCUAUUUAGGUAGCGCCUCGUGAAUUCAUCUCCGGGGGUAGAGCACUGUUUCGGCUAGGGGGCCAUCCCGGCUUACCAACCCGAUGCAAACUGCGAAUACCGGAGAAUGUUAUCACGGGAGACACACGGCGGGUGCUAACGUCCGUCGUGAAGAGGGAAACAACCCAGACCGCCAGCUAAGGUCCCAAAGUCAUGGUUAAGUGGGAAACGAUGUGGGAAGGCCCAGACAGCCAGGAUGUUGGCUUAGAAGCAGCCAUCAUUUAAAGAAAGCGUAAUAGCUCACUGGUCGAGUCGGCCUGCGCGGAAGAUGUAACGGGGCUAAACCAUGCACCGAAGCUGCGGCAGCGAACGUAUCACUUAAAGCGAUUCAGCGGAUGACGAUUGACGGAGCGAAGCGACGUCAAAGCGUAUACAAAGUCGAGUCGGUUUAAGGAUACGUUCGUUGGGUAGGGGAGCGUUCUGUAAGCCUGCGAAGGUGGCCUGUGAGGGUUGCUGGAGGUAUCAGAAGUGCGAAUGCUGACAUAAGUAACGAUAAAGCGGGUGAAAAGCCCGCUCGCCGGAAGACCAAGGGUUCCUGUCCAACGUUAAUCGGGGCAGGGUGAGUCGACCCCUAAGGCGAGGCCGAAAGGCGUAGUCGAUGGGAAACGGGUUAAUAUUCCCGUACUUGGUGUUACUGCGAAGGGGGGACGGAGAAGGCUAUGUUGGCCGGGCGACGGUUGUCCCGGUUUAAGCGUGUAGGUGUGUGUUCCAGGUAAAUCCGGUUCACUUUAACACUGAGGCGUGACGACGAGGCACUACGGUGCUGAAGCAACAAAUGCCCUGCUUCCAGGAAAAGCCUCUAAGCAUCAGGUAACAUCAAAUCGUACCCCAAACCGACACAGGUGGUCAGGUAGAGAAUACCAAGGCGCUUGAGAGAACUCGGGUGAAGGAACUAGGCAAAAUGGUGCCGUAACUUCGGGAGAAGGCACGCUGACAUGUAGGUGAAGUGAUUUACUCAUGGAGCUGAAGUCAGUCGAAGAUACCAGCUGGCUGCAACUGUUUAUUAAAAACACAGCACUGUGCAAACACGAAAGUGGACGUAUACGGUGUGACGCCUGCCCGGUGCCGGAAGGUUAAUUGAUGGGGUCAGCGCAAGCGAAGCUCCUGAUCGAAGCCCCGGUAAACGGCGGCCGUAACUAUAACGGUCCUAAGGUAGCGAAAUUCCUUGUCGGGUAAGUUCCGACCUGCACGAAUGGCGUAAUGAUGGCCAGGCUGUCUCCACCCGAGACUCAGUGAAAUUGAACUCGCUGUGAAGAUGCAGUGUACCCGCGGCAAGACGGAAAGACCCCGUGAACCUUUACUAUAGCUUGACACUGAACAUUGAGCCUUGAUGUGUAGGAUAGGUGGGAGGCUUUGAAGUGUGGACGCCAGUCUGCAUGGAGCCGACCUUGAAAUACCACCCUUUAAUGUUUGAUGUUCUAACGUGGACCCGUAAUCCGGGUUGCGGACAGUGUCUGGUGGGUAGUUUGACUGGGGCGGUCUCCUCCUAAAGAGUAACGGAGGAGCACGAAGGUUGGCUAAUCCUGGUCGGACAUCAGGAGGUUAGUGCAAUGGCAUAAGCCAGCUUGACUGCGAGCGUGACGGCGCGAGCAGGUGCGAAAGCAGGUCAUAGUGAUCCGGUGGUUCUGAAUGGAAGGGCCAUCGCUCAACGGAUAAAAGGUACUCCGGGGAUAACAGGCUGAUACCGCCCAAGAGUUCAUAUCGACGGCGGUGUUUGGCACCUCGAUGUCGGCUCAUCACAUCCUGGGGCUGAAGUAGGUCCCAAGGGUAUGGCUGUUCGCCAUUUAAAGUGGUACGCGAGCUGGGUUUAGAACGUCGUGAGACAGUUCGGUCCCUAUCUGCCGUGGGCGCUGGAGAACUGAGGGGGGCUGCUCCUAGUACGAGAGGACCGGAGUGGACGCAUCACUGGUGUUCGGGUUGUCAUGCCAAUGGCACUGCCCGGUAGCUAAAUGCGGAAGAGAUAAGUGCUGAAAGCAUCUAAGCACGAAACUUGCCCCGAGAUGAGUUCUCCCUGAGACUUAGAGUCUCCUGAAGGAACGUUGAAGACGACGACGUUGAUAGGCCGGGUGUGUAAGCGCAGCGAUGCGUUGAGCUAACCGGUACUAAUGAACCGUGAGGCUUAACCUU